GAUGAACGCUAGCGGGAGGCUUAACACAUGCAAGUCGAGGGGCAGCACGUCUUCGGAUGGUGGCGACCGGCGCACGGGUGCGUAACGCGUAUGCAACCUGCCUUAUACAGGGGGAUAGCCCAUGGAAACGUGGAUUAACACCCCAUAGUACUACUAAUCCGCAUGGAUUAAUAGUUAAAACUUCGGUGGUAUAAGAUGGGCAUGCGUAAGAUUAGGUAGUUGGUGAGGUAACAGCUCACCAAGCCGACGAUCUUUAGGGGUUCUGAGAGGAUUAUCCCCCACACUGGUACUGAGACACGGACCAGACUCCUACGGGAGGCAGCAGUGAGGAAUAUUGGUCAAUGGGCGCAAGCCUGAACCAGCCAUCCCGCGUGCAGGAUGACGGCCCUAUGGGUUGUAAACUGCUUUUGUUUGCCAAGAAUGGUUAUUACGUGUAGUAAUUUGACGGUAGCAAAUGAAUAAGGACCGGCUAACUCCGUGCCAGCAGCCGCGGUAAUACGGAGGGUCCAAGCGUUAUCCGGAUUCAUUGGGUUUAAAGGGUGCGCAGGCGGGCUUGUAAGUCAGUGGUGAAAUUCUGCAGCUUAACUGUAGAACUGCCAUUGAUACUGCAAGUCUUGAAUAUGGUUGAGGUAGGCGGAAUGUGUUGUGUAGCGGUGAAAUGCAUAGAUAUGACACAGAACGCCGAUUGCGAAGGCA
rnacentral:rRNA from 1 species